rnacentral:rRNA from 1 species
GACGAACGCUGGCGGCGUGCUUAACACAUGCAAGUCGAGCGGUAAGGCCCUUUCGGGGGUACACGAGCGGCGAACGGGUGAGUAACACGUGGGUGACCUGCCCUUAGCUCUGGGAUAAGCCUGGGAAACUGGGUCUAAUACCGGAUAUGACUCCAUGACGCAUGUUGUGGGGUGGAAAGCCUUGUGCGGCUAGGGAUGGGCCCGCGGCCUAUCAGCUUGUUGGUGGGGUGAUGGCCUACCAAGGCGACGACGGGUAGCCGGCCUGAGAGGGCGACCGGCCACACUGGGGACUGAGACACGGCCCAGACUCCUACGGGAGGCAGCAGUGGGGAAUCUUGCGCAAUGGGCGAAAGCCUGACGCAGCGACGCCGCGUGGGGAUGACGGCCUCGG